GACGCACGCCUCAAAACGAGUUUUUAAUUUUAAAAUAGAACCUCUUUACAUCGAAUACGAGUGAAUGUUUGUGGUCAUUCAACUGUUUAUAGUAUUACAAUAAUCGGUUUUUUGAACCUUUGGUCGAGUGACAUAUAUUUUUAUCUGUGUUCAUAGUGUUGUGUUACCGGAAAUGCGUUGUUUGUAAUUAGAAUUCGAAGAUGCAUUGACUGGCUUCAUGCAAACCUAAGUAUGCCGUUCAUCGACAUCGCAUUCGCAGCUGAGAUCAGCCGGUAUGAAGACCCGGAGUUUGAGGAGGUAGCUCGACGGAACUGCAAUGAGGAUCCGGACAAACGACAGUCGGCUAUCGAAGAGCUUAGGAGUAUGAUCUAUGAGCGGGGCUUGUGUAAUCCUCGUCGAAUGGAUGAUGCAUACCUUCUUC